GGGUUGUGAGGUUAAGCGACUAAGCGUACAUGGUGGAUGCCCUGGCAGUCAGAGGCGAUGAAGGACGUGCUAAUCUGCGAUAAGCGUCGGUGAGGUGAUAUGAACCGUUAUAACCGGCGAUUUCCGAAUGGGGAAACCCAGUGUGUUUCGACACACUAUCAUUAACUGAAUCCAUAGGUUAAUGAGGCGAACCGGGGGAACUGAAACAUCUAAGUACCCCGAGGAAAAGAAAUCAACCGAGAUUCCCCCAGUAGCGGCGAGCGAACGGGGAGGAGCCCAGAGCCUGAAUCAGUGUGUGUGUUAGUGGAAGCGUCUGGAAAGGCGCGCGAUACAGGGUGACAGCCCCGUACACAAAAAUGCACAUAUUGUGAGCUCGAUGAGUAGGGCGGGACACGUGGUAUCCUGUCUGAAUAUGGGGGGACCAUCCUCCAAGGCUAAAUACUCCUGACUGACCGAUAGUGAACCAGUACCGUGAGGGAAAGGCGAAAAGAACCCCGGCGAGGGGAGUGAAAAAGAACCUGAAACCGUGUACGUACAAGCAGUGGGAGCCUCUUAAUGGGGUGACUGCGUACCUUUUGUAUAAUGGGUCAGCGACUUAUAUUCUGUAGCAAGGUUAACCGAAUAGGGGAGCCGAAGGGAAACCGAGUCUUAACUGGGCGUUAAGUUGCAGGGUAUAGACCCGAAACCCGGUGAUCUAGCCAUGGGCAGGUUGAAGGUUGGGUAACACUAACUGGAGGACCGAACCGACUAAUGUUGAAAAAUUAGCGGAUGACUUGUGGCUGGGGGUGAAAGGCCAAUCAAACCGGGAGAUAGCUGGUUCUCCCCGAAAGCUAUUUAGGUAGCGCCUCGUGAAUUCAUCUCCGGGGGUAGAGCACUGUUUCGGCAAGGGGGUCAUCCCGACUUACCAACCCGAUGCAAACUGCGAAUACCGGAGAAUGUUAUCACGGGAGACACACGGCGGGUGCUAACGUCCGUCGUGAAGAGGGAAACAACCCAGACCGCCAGCUAAGGUCCCAAAGUCAUGGUUAAGUGGGAAACGAUGUGGGAAGGCCCAGACAGCCAGGAUGUUGGCUUAGAAGCAGCCAUCAUUUAAAGAAAGCGUAAUAGCUCACUGGUCGAGUCGGCCUGCGCGGAAGAUGUAACGGGGCUAAACCAUGCACCGAAGCUGCGGCAGCGACACUAUGUGUUGUUGGGUAGGGGAGCG
rnacentral:rRNA from 1 species